rnacentral:rRNA from 1 species
CCUACGGGCGGCAGCAGUGGGGAAUAUUGGACAAUGGGCGAAAGCCUGAUCCAGUCAUGCCGCGUGUGUGAAGAAGGCCUUCGGGUUGUAAAGCACUUUCAGUGGGGAAGAAAGCCUUGGGGCUAAUACCCUCGAGGAAGGACAUCACCCACAGAAGAAGCACCGGCUAACUCCGUGCCAGCAGCCGCGGUAAUACGGAGGGUGCGAGCGUUAAUCGGAAUUACUGGGCGUAAAGCGCGCGUAGGCGGUCUGAUAAGCCGGUUGUGAAAGCCCCGGGCUCAACCUGGGAACGGCAUCCGGAACUGUCAGGCUAGAGUGCAGGAGAGGAAGGUAGAAUUCCCGGUGUAGCGGUGAAAUGCGUAGAGAUCGGGAGGAAUACCAGUGGCGAAGGCGGCCUUCUGGACUGACACUGACGCUGAGGUGCGAAAGCGUGGGUAGCAAACAGGAUUAGAUACCCGUGUAGUC